GGGGCUGAUUUGGUUUCGACGGGAAUAGCAGAGCAUAGAUGGCAAGUCGAAUGUCCACGUCAAGGACACAAAAAAAUAAAUGCUGAAAAAAUUAAAAAUGCUGUAGUUAGUUUGUUUGGUGUACGCCAAGCAGUAGCUUUUGCCUAAUCAAUAAUAAAAAGGCCAGCUCUUCUAUUUAGUCCUUACCUUGGGACUAUUUAGAGGAUCAAUUUAAAAGGUUAUAGCUAUCUUUAGUCCGGAAGAUAGAAAGAAUGUAGGACUGGUAUAUCUUCUUGGUCGUUAAUUACUUGGAAGAUAUAUGAGAAUAAUUAGUUAACUAAACUUGUAGAGGUUUAUGUAGCUCUAUUUUCGGACAGGAGUUCAAUUCUCCUCAGCU
rnacentral:tmRNA from 1 species